rnacentral:lncRNA from 13 species
GCCAGUCUUCUGUAAGUAUCCCCAUAUGUUGGUAGGCUGUAUUUUGUCUAAACUCUAAAACAGUAGGCUAAUUUAGGCCAAAUCCAGUUUGGUUUCAGUUCAGUUCUAUUUUUUUUUAAUAUAUAUUUUUUUAUGAAUUGUUAAUCGUUUAAGUUAUUUUGUCAAUUUUGGCAACAUUAUUAUUUAUCACUAUACACUUCUACCUAUGUUUUGUUUUAAAAAACGUUUUUUUUAGAUUCCCUUGCGCGUAAUAAAUGAGAACGUUUACUUUGAAAAUGGAAAAAGUUGACAUCAGGAAGUAGUUGGCCGCGUUUUGCACAUUGUAGACAGCUUCACGAGUGGCAGUGCCACAACACUAACCGCCAGUGUUGUUUGUAGCUAUCCCAGUGUACAGGAAUGGGCUGGCUGUAACAUUUUGUCAUUUUCGUUAGUAAUGCGUGCGUUUGCAUUGUUUAUGUGGUGACAUUUCUAAAUGUCUACAUUUUAGGGCAAGGUCAAGCAAAUUCACAAACGCGUUUCGUCGUUUGUGUCAAAUGAGAAGUAACGUUAGACAGGAAAAAAAGGCUUCGUCGUUUUGACACAUCACAGAGAGGGGCAGAGCCAGUGGCAUAUGAGUCGAGAAGUGGACCUAGUGCGACUUUGACCGUGGAAAUCUCACCACAGCAGGAAACGCGAAACAUUGGGAAUCCAUAAUUCACGAUGGAAUAAUGCUUUAGGAAGUUCCAAAAUCCAGAAACAACGCCACUGGGAUUACAUUUGAAUGUUUUGUUUUUCCUUUCUAAAUAGAAAGGAGUUGUCUUUCAUUGUGACGUUUCACUUAACAUCUCAAAUCGAUAUGUAUACGAGCAAUGCCCGAAUGAGGAGAUAUAGCUAGGGGCUCAAUAUGAGGAAUCCGGAGAAUUGACCUCUGUUUGGAACCCCACCACGCGCCUUGGAGAAUGGCAUCAAAUGAAAGAUUGUACGAGGUCUGGAUGCUGUAUUGCAACAAGGUAAACAAACCUGUCUCUUGAUCUGUUUGACACAUAAAACAUGCAUUAGAAUCUGUCCCCGUCUCGGAGUAUAAACUCGGUGUACUGUCAGUAAGACCAGACAGUUAGGUCUAUUACAA